rnacentral:tRNA from 1 species
GUCUAAAUAGCUUAAAUAUAGAGCAUUACAUUGAAGAUGUAAUGGUGUAGGUAGUUACUUUGGACA